CAGUAGCCACGGGAAUACGAGGGGGGCAGGCGUUGUUCGGAUUUAUUGGGCGUAAAGCGCACGUAGGCGGCUUGGUAAGUUAGAGGUGAAAGCCUGGAGCUCAACUCCAGAAUUGCCUUUAAGACUGCCGAGCUAGCAGGUGAGAGAGGUAAGUGGAAUUCCGAGUGUAGAGGUGAAAUUCGUAGAUAUUCGGAAGGACACCAGUGGCGAAGGCGGCUUACUGGCUCAUACUGGACGCUGAGGUGCGAAAGCGUGGGGAGCAAACAGGAUUAGAUACCCCAGUAGUCCCUGUCUCUUAUAC
rnacentral:rRNA from 1 species